rnacentral:rRNA from 1 species
UCCGAAAUCAUUGGGCGUAAAGCGCCUGUAGGUUGUUUAUUAAGUCUGUUGUUAAAGCCUAGGGCUUAACCCUAGAACAGCAAUGGAAACUAGUAGACUAGAGUAUGGUAGGGGUAGAGGGAAUUUCUAGUGUAGCGGUGAAAUGCGUAGAUAUUAGAAAGAACACCAGUGGCGAAAGCGCUCUACUGGGCCAUUACUGACACUCAGAGGCGAAAGCUAGGGUAGCAAAAGGGAUUAGAUACCCCUGUAGUCCUAGCCGUAAACGAUGGAUACUAGAUGUUGUGCAUUAAGUACAGUAUCCUAGCUAACGCGUUAAGUAUCCCCGCCUGGGGAGUACGCUCGCAAGGGUGAAACUCAAAGGAAUUGACGGGGGCCCGCACAAGCGGUGGAGCAUGUGGUUUAAUUCGAUGCAACGCGAAGAACUUUACCAGGGCUUGACAUACUACGAAUUCUUUUGAAAGAGAGAAGUGCCUUCGGGAAUGUAGAUACAGGUGGUGCAUGGGUGUCGUCAGCUCGUGUCGUGAGAUGUUGGGUUAAGUCCCGCAACGAGCGCAAUCCUCGUUUUUAGUUGCCAAUUUAUUGGGAUCUCUAGAAAGACUGCCGGUGACAAACCGGAGGAAGGUGAG